rnacentral:rRNA from 1 species
GAUGAACGCUGGCGGCGUGCCUAAUACAUGCAAGUCGAGCGAACAGACGAGGAGCUUGCUCCUCUGACGUUAGCGGCGGACGGGUGAGUAACACGUGGAUAACCAUCUAUUAAUACGGGGUUAAUUUCGGAAAACCGCAGCUAUUACUGGAUAAUACUUCGAACGGAUGGGUGCAUUGGUGAAUCAGGGUUUGCUUGAUUCUAUUAGUUGAUUCCGCGCCGCAUUAGCUAGUUGGUAAGGUAACGGCUUACCAAGGCAACGAUGCGUAGCCGACCUGAGAGGGUGAUCGGCCACACUGGAACUGAGACACGGUCCAGACUCCUACGGGAGGCAGCAGUAGGGAAUCUUCCGCAAUGGGCGAAAGCCUGACGGAGCAACGCCGCGUGAGUGAUGAAGGUCUUCGGAUCGUAAAACUCUGUUAUUAGGGAAGAACAAAUGUGUAAGUAACUAUGCACGUCUUGACGGUACCUAAUCAGAAAGCCACGGCUAACUACGUG